AGGUGCGAUCAUACCAGCACUAAUGCACCGGAUCCCAUCAGAACUCUGCAGUUAAGCGUGCUUGGGCAAGAGUAGUACUAGGAUGGGUCAGGACCUCUUGGGAAGUCCUCGUGUUGCACCUC
rnacentral:rRNA from 2 species